UACGGGGGGAGCAAGCGUUGUUCGGAUUUACUGGGCGUAAAGGGCGCGUAGGCGGCCACCGCAAGUCAAUUGUGAAAUCUCCGGGCUUAACCCGGAAAGGUCAGCCGAUACUGCGGGGCUAGAGUGCAGAAGGGGCAACUGGAAUUCUCGGUGUAGCGGUGAAAUGCGUAGAUAUCGAGAGGAACACCUGCGGCGAAGGCGGGUUGCUGGGCUGACACUGACGCUGAACUGCGAAAGCUAGGGGAGCGAACGGG
rnacentral:rRNA from 1 species